rnacentral:rRNA from 1 species
AGUGAACGCUGGCGGUAGGCCUAACACAUGCAAGUCGAACGGCAGCACAGUAAGGGCUUGCUCUUACGGGUGGCGAGUGGCGGACGGGUGAGGAAUACAUCGGAUUCUACUUUUUCGUGGGGGAUAACGUAGGGAAACUUACGCUAAUACCGCAUACGACCUACGGGUGAAAGCAGGGGAUCUUCGGACCUUGCGCGAUUGAAUGAGCCGAUGUCGGAUUAGCUAGUUGGCGGGGUAAAGGCCCACCAAGGCGACGAUCCGUAGCUGGUCUGAGAGGAUGAUCAGCCACACUGGAACUGAGACACGGUCCAGACUCCUACGGGAGGCAGCAGUGGGGAAUAUUGGACAAUGGGCGCAAGCCUGAUCCAGCCAUACCGCGUGGGUGAAGAAGGCCUUCGGGUUGUAAAGCCCUUUUGUUGGGAAAGAAAAGCAGCAGGUUAAUACCCCGCUGUUCUGACGGUACCCAAAGAAUAAGCACCGGCUAACUUCGUG